rnacentral:tRNA from 2 species
GGCGCAGUGGCGAAGAGGAAACGCAGCUGUCUGCAAAACAGCUAUCGCAGGGGUUCGAUUCCCCUCUGCGCCU